rnacentral:misc_RNA from 1 species
GUGAAUCAUCAAAUCUUUGAACACAAAUUGCACUCUCUGGUAUUCCGGGGAGUGUGCCUGUUUGAGGGUCGUUAGAAUAAAAAAUCGAUGCGUCGCUCUUUUUUUUAAGGGUGAUUGCGUCGGAAUUGAGCCGUCUUUCAAAUGUCAAUUCAUGAUAAAGUGGCGUGUAAUUCAUCCUUCCGA